rnacentral:rRNA from 1 species
CCUACGGGUGGCAGCAGUGAGGAAUAUUGGUCAAUGGGCGCGAGCCUGAACCAGCCAAGUCGCGUGAGGGAAGACGGUCCUAUGGAUUGUAAACCUCUUUUGUCGGGGAGCAAAAGACGCCACGCGUGGCGUUCCGAGAGUACCCGAAGAAAAAGCAUCGGCUAACUCCGUGCCAGCAGCCGCGGUAAUACGGAGGAUGCAAGCGUUAUCCGGAUUUACUGGGUGUAAAGGGAGCGUAGGCGGCAGGGCAAGCCUGAUGUGAAAGCCCGGGGCUCAACCCCGGGACUGCAUUGGGAACUGCCCUGCUGGAGUGCCGGAGGGGCAGGCGGAAUUCCUAGUGUAGCGGUGAAAUGCGUAGAUAUUAGGAGGAACACCAGUGGCGAAGGCGGCCUGCUGGACGGUGACUGACGCUGAGGCUCGAAAGCGUGGGGAGCAAACAGGAUUAGAUACCCUUGUAGUC